UGAGUCAUGGCAUUUAAUGAGGUAACAAACCGCCAUAAUUCUGCUUAAGACAUCUGGUAGGGCAAAGGAUGGGGGGAUUUGGGGCUUAUUCUUGUCCCACUUCAUCAUUAACCUCACUUUGAGCUGCUGAAAGUAAGAAUUUAGCCACGUCUGAGGCGCCUUUAUAGUCAAAGACAGCACUAUGACGACUCCAAACGAUAUGGCUGCAUCAUCGGAAAUCUUAUGCAGUUUCGUAAGGAAUUAGACCUCUCUGUCUGAGAACACUAAACACGCCUUGCUAAACUGCAAAUCCAAGGAUUGUGCAAGGAUGUUGCCAUGGAAGUUAAAGCAGAAUGUAAUGUCAAAAAGUCCCGGGUGGGUCAUAAAUCAGGUUCAACUCCAGGCGAUGAAAUGUUUUCUUGCUGAUCCCUGCAAAUCAAACCUCUGUUGAAAGUAGAUACUUUCAUAUAUGUAGACACGGCUUUGGGAGAUGGAAAUAAAGAACACAUAGCCAGGCAAUGAAAGAUCCUAUUGCAUCACUCAGCAGUUCAUUUGAAUCAGUGGUUUCCAACCUUCCUAAACAUGUUGUGGUGACCCCCAAGCAUAAAAUUAUUUUUGUUUUUACCUAAUAACUAGGUAUGGGGAUACCAAGUCACCUUGUCCGUCUCCUGAGGAAUCUGUAUAACGACCAAGUAGCAAGAGUAAGAACAGACCACAGAACAGAUUGGUUCAAGAUUGGGAAAGGAGUAUGGCAGGGCUGUAUACUCUCAUGCUACCUAUUCAACUUGUAUGCAGAAUACAUCAUGCGACGUGUAGGGUUGGAUGAAUUCAAGGCUGGAGUUAAAAUUGCUGGAAGAAACAUCAACAACCUUAGAUAUGCAGAUGACACCACUCUGGUGGCUGAAAGUGAGGAGGAGCUGAGGAGCCUUAUCAGAAUGGGGGACGCCUGGCUUGACAGCAGUGUGUGCAAAAAAGACCUUGGAGUCCUCGUGGACAACAAGUUAAACAUGAGCCAACAAUGUGAUGCGGCAGCUAAAAAAGCCAACGGGAUUCUGGCCUGCAUCAAUAGGGGUAUAGCAUCUAGAUCCAGGGAAGUCAUGCUCCCCCUCUAUUCUGCCUUGGUCAGACCACACCUGGAAUAAUGUGUCCAAUUUUGGGCACCACAGUUGAAGGGAGAUGUUGACAAGCUGGAAAGCGUCCAGAGGAGGGCAACUAAAAUGAUUAAGGGUCUGGAGAACAAGCCCUAUGAGGAGCGGCUUAAAGAGCUGGGCAUGUUUAGCCUGCAGAAGAGAAGGCUGAGAGGACACAUGAUAGCCAUGUACAAAUACGUGAAGGGAAGUCAUAGGGAGGAGGGAGCAAGCUUGUUUUCUGCUGCCCUGCAGACUAGGACACGGAACAAUGGCUUCAAACUACAGGAAAGGAGAUUCCACCUGAACAUCAGGAAGAACUUCCUCACUGUGAGGGCUGUUCGACAGUGGAACUCUCUCCCCCGGACUGUGGUGGAGGCUCCUUCUUUGGAGGCUUUGGAGGCUGGAUGGCCAUCUGUUGGGGGUGCUUUGAAUGCGAUUUCCUGCUUCUUAGUGGGGGGUUGGACUGGAUGGCCCAUGAGGUCUCUUCCAACUCUACUAUUCUAUGAUUCUAUCACCAAGGGGAAAGAAGAAAGUGCAAAAGCUGGGUUGCAGUUAAACAUCAAGAAAACCAAGAUUAUGUCAACCAGACUGACUGAUAACAGGCAAACAGAAGGAGAAAAUGUGGAGGCAGUGACAGACUUUGUAUUUCUAGGCGCAAAGAUUACUGCAGAUGCAGAGUGCAGCCAGGAAAUUAGAAGACGUUUACUUCUUGGUAGGAGAGCAAUGACCGAUCUCGAUGAAAUAGUGAAGAGUAGAAACAUCACACUGGCAACGAAGGUCCGCAUAGUUAAAGCAAUGGUAUUCCCCAUAGUAACCUAUGGAUGUGAGAGCUGGACCAUAAGGAAGGCUGAGCAAAGGAAGAGAGACACUUUUGAACUUUUGUGCUGGAGGAAAAUUCUGAGAGUGCCUUGGACCGCAAGAAGAUCCAACCAGUCAAUACUCAGGAAAUAAUGCCCGGCUCCUCACUGGAGGGAAGGAUAUUCGAAGCAAAGAUGAAGUGUUUUGGCUACAUGAUGAGAAGACAGGAAAGCUUGGAGAAGAUCAUGAUGCUGGGGAAAAUGGAAGGAAAAAGGAAGAGGGGUCAACCAAGGGCAACAUGGGUGGAUGGUAUCCUUGAAGUGAUUGGCUUGACCUUGAUGGAGCUGCGGGUGAUGACAGCUGACAGGGACCUCUGGCAUGGGUUGGUCCAUGAGGUCACGAAGAGUCGGAAGCGACUGAACGAAUAAACAACAACAUAACUGUCAUUUUGCUACUGUUAUGAAUCAUAAUGUAAAUAUCUGAUAUGCAGGGUGUAUUUUCAUUCACUGGACCAAAUUUGGCACAAAUACCCAAUACACUCAAAUGUUAAUACUGGUGGAGUUUGGGGAAAAGAGACCUUGACAUUUGGGGGUUGUAGUUGCUGGGAUUUAUAGUUCAGCUACAAUCAAAGAGCAUUCCAAACUCCACCAAUGAUGAAAAUGAACCAAAUUUGGCACACAGAACUCCCGUGACCAACAGAAAAUACUGGAAGGGUUUGGUGGACAUUGACUUUGAGUUUUGGAGUUGUAGUUCACCUAUAUCCAGAGAGCACUGUGGACUCAAACAAUGAUGGAUUUGGACUAAACUUGGCACAAAUACUCAAUAUGCCCAAAUGUGAAGACUGGUGGAGUUUGGGGGAAAUAAACCUUGACAUUUGGGUGUUUUAGUUUCUGGGAUUUAUAGUUCACUUACAAUCAAGGGGCCCCUUGAACCCCACCACUGAUAGAACUGGGUCAAACUUCCUACACAGAACUCCUAUGAACAACAGAAAAUACUGAAGGGAUUUAUUGCGCCAAAUUGCUAUGUGUGUGUGUGUAAAGAAAUCCUUGCAAAGUUGCUUGCAAAACAUCUCUGCAAAAAGGGAGCUGAGCUUUUGCAGAAGCAAGCCACGUCUCAAACAAUGUAUCGGUUUGCUGGCAGAUGGCUGGGUUUGUCAGUUGGUAAUCUGAGCUUGCGGGGAGAGCACAGAAAUGGAGGAGCUCUCUAGCUACGGUCAAGUAGCAGUUUGAAUAUGCUAUGCUGUAAAUAGAAUGCUGAUGUUAUUGAUCUUAUGCAACUACAUGGACAUUGUAUGAUUGCAGAACUGUUUUAUAUUUCAACUCAACAAGCAAGAGUAAAGUUCUUUUCUUCUUUCAAUUCCUCUGCCUGGUGUGAGUCUUUUGCACAUGGUGUUAACUGGACACUGCUGGAUUCCACUAUACUCGUUAAUAGGAUUUGGGGGGAAUUGACAGUGAUUUAGGGGAGAUGUAGUUCACCUACCUCUGGACAACACUGUCAAUUAAUAUGUCUUUUCUGAUGAUCUUUGGUGACCCCUCUGACACUCUUUUGCAACCCCCCCCCCCCGAUCUCAACCUUGGAUGUUGCACCUCCCUUUCUUUUCCCCUAAAUAAUAAGGAUGGGAAGAACGUGGGAUAUACUUCCCCAUAACAAUGCCUCGCUUAUCCUAGCAGGAUUAGUAGCCAGCCAGCUAUUGUAUUGUUUCACUUAAUGCAUUAUUCAAGCAAUUAAUCAUAGAAUUGGAAGCUACCUCAAGAGUUAUCUAAUGCAGUCUCUUGCCAAUGGAGGAACAAGACGUUUCUAGGGUGCCUGGUUAUUAUUUACUCCACGCAUCUGAGAAAGCAGAUUAAGUACACGAAAGAUUGUGUUACAACUUCUUUCAGUUAGUCUCAAAGGUGCUACAAGAGCCCGUUGCAUACCAUUAUUCUGAGUUCAUUUCCCCCUGGAAUGAGAAACCGGAGAUUAACUGGUGCUGUGUAAGAUUUGCUUGGAUGCCUGCCACAGAUGUGGACGAAACAUCAGGACAGAAUACUUCUGGAACAUGGCCAUACAGCCUGGAAAACACACAAUAACCCUGUGAUCCAGCCAUGAAAGCCUUCGACAACACAUUAAGAUUUGUUUGUUUAUAAAUCCCGUAUCUGGGGAGGAUACAAGAUACUGUGGUGAAGCUUCUUGAAAGAUUUGGGGCCCAGGAAUAUCAUACAUUCACUCCAGAAAAUGCAGAGAAGAUAUAUUUUGCAGGACAAGGAGAAAUAAAACAGUGGACACUGAUCCGGCCUCAGCUAAACAGGUGCAGUGACAGUUGGAAGAAAGAAGCAGAGAGAAAAACAGAGUUUGAAGUGUGUUGAAGUGUGCUCUUGUUUCAUAAGCUGCUGGAAGGAAUUUAUCCACAUGGACAAAGGAAAGACUUUUAAAUCUCUCAUAAAAGGACAUUAUGUAAGUUGGUGGAACUGAGCACAUUAUACAUAGGUAUGUUGUUCUGGGUUUAAGAAGAAUAAACCAUUUGUUCUUUACUGUU